rnacentral:lncRNA from 1 species
GUUGCCCGCUGCUGCUACCUGCGGCUAGAUUGUUCCUCCUGCCUUGUUUUGGGGUGUUUAUUUGUUUUUAGACCGGGAAACGUUCCAAAGCGCACAUUCAGGCGCGUGUAGAGUCACUGACAGUUAAGUUUGCGUUUCGCUUGUUAUUGGCCUAAUCAAAUUCUAGGGUUUAAUUCCGAAAGCUCUGCAAGAAGCAGUCCACCGGAGAACGUUGAUAAGCGGAGGUUGAUUUAGCUGUGACAUAACUGUUAAGAAAAAAACCAGGGCGUCCACAUAAAUUUCGAGGCCACAGCCCAGCCAUGUGGUGUGGGGACUGGAGCCAGCUGCCACAGGAGUCAUUACGCUUCCUGACCUCUUCGUCGCAGAGUAGCCUUGAGGUGUGCCCUGUCGUAAUCUUGUGU